CAUAUGCUUCGAGGCUGCGGCGUCCAUCAGAGCAUCGCGAUCGACAGGCGGCUGGCCACUGCGGAUAAGGUGUUUCCUACUCCCCACCAGCAGACUUUGCUGAUGUCCUCUGAGGCGUAUGGAAUACAAAUGGAAGAUAUUUUUGAUAUUCCUUGUCAGUUUCAAUGGAAAAGUUAUGGCACGACCAGAUUGCCACAAGGAUCAAUACAGAGUCGGAGACAGAUGUUGCUAUAAAUGCGAUCCGGGAUAUCAAGUUUCUGAGGACUGCCCACUAGAGGGAGGACAGACAAGAUGCCAAACUUGUGCCAAAGACACUUUCGCUACAGGCCUCAAUAGAUAUAAGCACUGCACUCCCUGUACCAGCUGUGAUUCAGAGAGGGGUCUGCGUUUGAGGAAGUCGUGUACAGAGACAUCAGACGCUUUGUGUGAAACCCUGGAUGGAUACUUCUGUAGAGACCCCAACGAAGGAGGAUGUAGGGCGGCUCAGAGACACAGUGUGAGCUGCAGUCCUGGUCACCACAUCGGUCAAAACGGAACCGCAGAUAAAGACACAGAGUGCCUUGAUUGUGCGAAGGGAACCUUCUCUAAUGGAACGGUGACGUCUUGCCAGCCCCACACAAAUUGUGAAUCUCUGGAGCUGUAUCAAAUCCAACCAGGGACCACUUCAACUGAUUCUGAGUGUGGAAAACAUGGGUCCAACGUAACACCACUAGUGAAAGAAGUAAUACCAAUCAUAGUGCUGCUAUUAUUUUUCGUUGUUCUAGUAUUCUUAAAGAGGUAAGCUUAACCUUUACAUUUAUCUUUUGCUGACGCUUUUAUUCAAAGUGACUUGCAACCAUUCAUUCACACAUUCACACAUUCACACACCGACGGCGGAGUCGACCACGCAGGGCGACAGCCAGCUCGUCGGGAGCAGUCAGGGUGAGGCGUCUCGAUCAGGGACCCCUCAACACUCUAGCUAGGAGGAGUUGGGGAUAGAAAUAGCAACCUACCGGUUACCAGUCAACCCACUCUAGCUCCUGAGAUACUGCCCCCCCCCCCCCCCCCCCCCCAACCAUAAACCCUUAAUAGGUUCAUAGUUGGCUGAAUGAUAGUAACAGCUGCUGAUAUUGCUGCUGAACUGAUGUAUUGAUGUUCAUCUUUUAUUCAGAAUGAACCAAGCUCUGAAGGAGCGGAGUACUAUUCAACAGUCAGCCCAGAAAACCCAGGAUGUGGCUCCAGGAGGACCUAAUGAGGAAAAAAACACGAUGCUGCAAAACCGAUGCUGUGGGAUCAUGUUCUGGGUUAGGAAAUCAUAGCAAUAUCAAUACACACAGUAUAUCUAAAGAAGUGUAUGCAUAUUCUCAGGUCAAGCAUAUUGUAUUUGUUGACUGCAACUUGGAUCCCCUUGAUCACAGUUGCAGUCUUAAAGGUCUGUACUGCCGACAUAGUGAACCACCGAUCAUGUUCAGGUCAUGUUGAUCAGUUUAUGAUCAGACUACCAAAGCGGUCGUAAACAGCCCCCGCGAGUCAUAGAACAAAACUUCAAACUUUGCCACCUUUUGAAACUAGCGUGUGGUGAGAACUCACCAACACUAAAGGAGACACAAGCUCACAAGCUGCUGAACUUGAAUGUCAAUUACAAUUAGGGCAUUUAGCAGACGCUUUUAUCCAAAGCGACUUACAUUCCCCCUGGAUCUACAGCUGGCAGCAAAGAUCUUUAAGCACUAACUCCAAACCAAUCUUUUAACUACUGAGACUUAGGUCACCGUUGUAUUGCUUUAUCUUGAUCAUCCGUUCUUCUGUCUACCUGCUUAUCUCUGCAUUUUUCUGAUUGUACUUUAGACACUUCAUCCCUUUUUUGAUUUUCCCAAAAUGUGGCCGCAGUGUAUCAAUACACACAGUAUAUCUACAGAAGUGUAUGUAUGUUCUCAGGUCAAGCAUAUUGUAUUUGUUGACCGCAACUGGGAUCCCCUUGAUCACAGUUGCAGUCUUAAAGGUCUGUACUGCCGACACAGUGAACCACCGAUCAAGUUGUCAUGGGAGUAGCGGACGCGGGGUAAGCGGGGGGGACAUGUCCCCCGCACUUCCCGUAUCUGUGCCCUCUGUCCCCCGCACUUUUUAAAGCCAUUCUAGCCAUCUAGAACUGAAAAUAUUAUUUUGUAAUAUAGUUAAUCAGGAGAGCCUGUAGCCUUUGAUUCCCUUAGUUCAAAAGGUAAAUACUGACAUGGAUGUUUAAAUAUUGUGGCAACCCGGGCCCAGGAAUGUCUCAGAGGUAUAGGAAUCGCCACACUUCACGGCUGGUUCAAAGCCCGGGAGGGCUUUUAUUCAGGAUAAUGCAAAACACGCCCACGUGGGGAAAACGAGAAAGAAUACACUGACUC